rnacentral:snRNA from 1 species
GUGGGUGGAUUACAGCACAUAUACUAAACGAUACAGAGAUUAGUAUGGCCCCUCUGCAAGGAUAACAUGCAAAUUCAUGAAGUGUUCCAUAUUUUU